UACAGAGGUCCCGAGCGUUGUUCGGAUUCACUGGGCGUAAAGGGUGCGUAGGCGGUCGGGUAAGUCUGAUGUGAAAUCUCACAGCUUAACUGUGAAACUGCAUUGGAUACUAUUCGGCUUGAGAGUUGGAGGGGGGACUGGAAUUCUCGGUGUAGCAGUGAAAUGCGUAGAUAUCGGGAGGAACACCUGUGGCGAAAGCGGCGCACUGGACCACAACUGACGCUGAGGCGCGAAAGCGUGGGGAGCGAACAGG
rnacentral:rRNA from 1 species